rnacentral:rRNA from 1 species
UAAGGCUGGUUCUUGAAGAUGACGAGCGGCGGACGGGUGAGUAAUGCCUGGGAAUUUGCCCAUUUGUGGGGGAUAACAGUUGGAAACGACUGCUAAUACCGCAUACGCCCUACGGGGGAAAGCAGGGGAACUUCGGUCCUUGCGCUGAUGGAUAAGCCCAGGUGGGAUUAGCUAGUAGGUGGGGUAAUGGCUCACCUAGGCAACGAUCCCUAGCUGGUCUGAGAGGAUGAUCAGCCACACUGGGACUGAGACACGGCCCAGACUCCUACGGGAGGCAGCAGUGGGGAAUAUUGCACAAUGGGGGAAACCCUGAUGCAGCCAUGCCGCGUGUGUGAAGAAGGCCUUCGGGUUGUAAAGCACUUUCAGCGAGGAGGAAAGGGUGUAAGUUAAUACCUUACAUCUGUGACGUUACUCGCAGAAGAAGCACCGGCUAACUCCGUGCCAGCAGCCGCGGUAAUACGGAGGGUGCGAGCGUUAAUCGGAAUUACUGGGCGUAAAGCGUGCGCAGGCGGUUUGUUAAGCGAGAUGUGAAAGCCCCGGGCUCAACCUGGGAACCGCAUUUCGAACUGGCAAACUAGAGUCUUGUAGAGGGGGGUAGAAUUCCAGGUGUAGCGGUGAAAUGCGUAGAGAUCUGGAGGAAUACCGGUGGCGAAGGCGGCCCCCUGGACAAAGACUGACGCUCAGGCACGAAAGCGUGGGG